GCAUGUUGGCUGUUCUUAUCCUUAUCAAUGGCGAUCACCGUUGCCCCGACGUCCUCUGCUGCAGCAGCAGGGCCUCCUCCUGACUUCGAAGCCAUUUGCGAGAGAUCCAUCGGCGGCACCAACAGCCCACCGAGCCGGCCGAUGGUGGGUGCCGAAUUGGGAACCCCGGAAGAAAAUCUUCAGGAUCCAACUCAAAGGAACUAGCCAUUGAAGUUUGAAUUGAUUUACACAAGACUCUGAAUGGACACAAAGGACGAAGGAAAUGGCAAGAAUGUUUGUGUUUAGAAUUCAGACGACCCACUUUUGGGGAAAUUUAACGAGCCGCUUCCCUGUUUUGGGUGUGGAAUGGGAUCGAUUUCCUUUCUUCUUGGACUUGUAUGCCCGCUGAUAUUGUAUUACGCCACAGUUCUCUACUUCAGCAAUUACUCCAUCAAUGAUCCAAGAGAGAGAGCGGGUCUAGCUGCUGCUUCUAUAGCCGAGAGUGUUUUCAUACUUAAGAUGCCAUUUCACAUUUCUGCGUGAAGAUUGUAUUUUGUAUCUCUGUUUAUCUUUUUUCCCCCUUGUUAUUAUAAGGAAGAUCGCUCUCUGUAUUCUCUCUCAUAACAAGUAAACUUAUGGUUCUUGCAGGCUCUAAUUUUUACAA